CAGAAAGUGCCUCUGUUCCCUCAUCCUCCAAGUUCAGGUAACUCAUAUAGAUCUCGGUUAAAUGAGUCAAGACUGAUAAAGUCUUGGCCAGGGCAAUUCCACCUUCGACUCCAAACAUGUUGUCACGAAGAUCAAGUUUCUUCAAGUGGCUACAGUGUUCAAGUGCUUCAGCUAGUGCAACACCACCUUCUGAACCAAUCCUUGUAGAUGAACACCGG